rnacentral:ncRNA from 1 species
GAUAACAAGUUGAUCUUCCCCAAAAGCUCACAUCGACUGGAAGGUUUAACACCUCGAUAUCGAUUCUUCGCCGCCUGGGAUUGUAGUAUGUUCCAAGAGUUAGAUUGUUCAUCCAUUAAAGCGGUACGUGAAUUGGAUUCAAAAUAUCAUGAGACAGUUU